rnacentral:rRNA from 1 species
CGAACGAAUCCCGGGGGGCAACUCCCGGGGGAAGUGGCGAAAGGGGCAGUAAGGCAUGGGUAACCUACCCCGAGGACUGGGAUAGCCCUCCUAACGGAGGGGUAAUACCGGGCGAUCUGGUUGAGGGGCAUCUCUCGGCCAGCAAAUGAAUUUCGCCUUGGGAGGGGCUCAUGUGCUAUUAGCUAGUUGGCGGGGUAACGGCCCACCAAGGCAAAGAUGGCUAGCAGGUGUGAGAGCACGACCUGCGCCACUGGCACUGUGACACUGGCCAGACUCCUACGGGAGGCUGCAGUCGAGGAUCUUCGGCAAUGGGCGCAAGCCUGACCGAGCGACGCCGCGUGUGCGAUGAAGGCCUUCGGGUUGUAAAGCACUGUCGAGGGGGAGGAAAGCCGCGCAAGCGGUCUGACCUAUCCCUGGAGGAAGCACGGGCUAAGUUCGUGCCAGCAGCCGCGGUAAGACGAACCGUGCGAACGUUG